rnacentral:rRNA from 1 species
GGGGAAUUUUCCGCAAUGGGCGAAAGCCUGACGGAGCAAUACCGCGUGAGGGAUGACGGCCUAUGGGUUGUAAACCUCUUUUUUCAGGGAGGAAUCAAUGACGUGUACCUGAAGAAUAAGCAUCGGCUAACUCCGUGCCAGCAGCCGCGGUAAGACGGAGGAUGCAAGUGUUAUCCGGAAUCACUGGGCGUAAAGCGUCUGUAGGUGGUCCAAUAAGUCAACUGUUAAAUCUUGAGGCUCAACCUCAAAAUCGCAGUCGAAACUAUUAGACUAGAGUAUAGUAGGGGUAAAGGGAAUUUCCAGUGGAGCGGUGAAAUGCGUAGAGAUUGGAAAGAACACCGAUGGCGAAGGCACUUUACUGGGCUAUUACUAACACUCAGAGACGAAAGCUAGGGUAGCAAAUGGGAUUAGAUACCCCAGUAGUC